ensembl:lncRNA
GAACAUGAAACCAUCACUUUUUUUACUUUUUCAAGGUAUCCUGCUCUAUGAUGCUUUGGGAUGGGAAGUGAGAAUGCCGAAAUACAUCCACGGCCUCAAAGGUUCCUGUCUGGUCAUACCAUGUUCUUUCAGCUACACAUCAUAUCCACCCAAAGACCCACGUAGAGUUGUGUGGUAUCAGUGGGUCUCUAAAGGUUAUCCUUUAGUUUAUGAUCCAUGGCAUCCAAAUGAUGUCAUUGAGAAGUUCAGAUGGAAAACUGAUUUAUAUGGUGACCCAUCAAAUAGGGAUUGCAGUCUGUUAAUUAAAAACCUGCAACAGUCCCACCACGAAGAGAAAUUAUAUGCUUGGAUUGACCCUGAAAAUGUUGGAUGGCGCACCUACGCAUUUUAUGAUGUCACCUCUACUAUUCAAGUUGAUGCAAGUCCACAGCAGCCUAGCAUCAGUGUUUCUGGAGGUGAAAGGAUAGAUGACACAAUUACAGUAGAAUGUUCAACUUUCCACACGUGUCCAUACAGCAAACCAGACAUCACUCUGAACGGUGUAGAAGGAUCUGAUCAAACAAAGGAUGAACAUAUUAAAGACGGUCUGUGGAAAAUCACUCUGACACGCACAGGUGUUGUAAAGGCAGAAAACUUUUGAGUGUUCAGUAACACCUUAUGGAGGCAUAACAGUGACAGUUACAAAAAACACAAGUGCACAAUGUGAGUAAAUACAAACAUGAACUGAUUUGUGUGCUAUUAGCUAUUCACGGUAAAUGUCACAUUGAGACCUAUUACAAGAUUUCAGUUCAAUUUCAGGUGUUCAUCAUAAAAUAAUGAUUGAGCCUGAACUGGCAGAUGUCACAGAGGGUGUUGCAAAGAACUUUAUUUGUAGUCUCUACCAUUCCUGCCAGAAAGAGAAUCCAGCCAUCACAUGGAACUAUGAGAACAUGCAGGUCACAAAGGGGAGCAAAACACUUUCUGGUUUAAAUCGCAUCACCUACUCCAACAUAACCUUUCUGGGUGCAAAAGAAGAUCAUGGGAAGAAAUUGAUUUGCACUGCAAAUUUUUCUGGAGGAAACAUUACAACCUCUGUUGUUUUACAUGUAAAAUGUGUUCAUCAUAACAUAACGAUUGAGCCUGAACUGGCAGAUAUCACAGAGGGCGUCGCAAAGAACUUCAUUUGUAGCGUCUACCAUUCCUGCCAGAAUGAGAAUCCAACCAUCACAUGGAACUAUGAGAACAUGCAGGUCUCAGAGUGGAACAAAACACUUUCUGGUUUAAAUCAGGUCACCUACUCCAACAUAACCUUUCUGGGUGCAAAAGUAGAUCAUGAGAAGAAACUGAUAUGUACGGCAAAAUUUUCUGGAAGAGACAUUAUGGCAUCUGUUGUCUUAAAUGUGCAAUACCCAGUGCUCAUUGGACUGGAGACUAUUGGUCUUUACAUCCUAAUGCCAUCACUUGUGUUCCUUCUGGUUUGUAUACUUGCUGGAGUCAUCAUAUACAAGAAGCGACAAAGGGUAAUGAUUAUGAAGCUGAAUACACCAACAUGGAAGAACUCAACAUGUAUGGAAAUAUCUGAUGAGAAGCAAAAUGGGCUCAAUACAGUGUUUUUUUUUUUUUUUUUUAAGAUUAAAAAUAAUAAUUUUAUUAAUAAUAAAUUUGUUACAUUUAUCAUGUAUUGUAUCAUGUAAGCAAACAACUGCUUUGAUUUAUGUAUAUGAAUUAUAUACUUGCAUGUAAAAUUAUACAGUACUGAUUUAGCCUAUUUUUUAUUAAUUUUUUUAUUUACUACAUUCGCACCUGAUUAUUAAAUAUGAUUGAAUCAUAUUGUUACGUUCAGACAGUGCCAUACCAAACAGAAAGUUAGGCUGUAUCUUAGAAAUGCUUUAUGGUUUUGAAACAAUAUUUUGUGAAUGUUGUCACCGUCCUGGGAGUAGGACUACGUUGAGCAGUAUGCGGACAGCUCCACCUACUGGUCUAGAAAUCAUAUAAAUAGGACAUUCCGCGUAAAUUAAAAAGUGGAGCUGACACCGCUUUUUCUGUUUUCUUCAGUCAUCGUGGCCAGUGUCUAACUUUAACAUUAUCAUUAGUUAUUGUAGCUAUGGAAGGGCACAAACAUAAUCUGAACAGAGUUAGACCUAUUGCCGAUGUUCAUGUUAAAACCUUUAAAUGCCUAACAGAGCAGUUUAUGCUGUUAGCAGUUUAUUUAUUUAUUUUUUUUCUAUGAUAACAAUGUAAAAUGGAUACUGAGAAAAAAAUUAAAUAAAAAGGUUCUUAUCGUUCUGGAAGUUUAAUUU